ensembl:lincRNA linc-66 ncRNA
GAUGUUGCAUCAACUGCAAGAAGUUUACAAGUCUACGUUGGAACCAUGGUUUAGCCGCUGCACAACUGCUUCUUGAAGGGAAGGCAUUCCGAACUUCGUGCUUGGACAGUAGCUGCUGAGACAACAACGUCAACUGAGCAGGCCUUCACUGAAACCUUCUGCACAAGACACCGAUGAUGGUCAGUUUUUAACGGCUGAUCGUGCUGUCCUCCAAUCCAAAUACUACCAUGUCUCUAAAUAUGGUUAGAAUAGAUAAUUUUCAAUUGAACAGCAAUCAACUCAACUAUUCGUAGUGUGGAAAUGCAAAGUUCAAUGCUCAACUGGAUGAAAGAUUCAGUAGUCUAACUUCUCACCAUUGUGUCUUCAGUCAUGUCCACUGGUUACGAUCUGGGGACAAUCAACUCUUGAAGAAGAACCCUUGUUUUUUGAAUAAAGUGUAGAUGGUGUG